GAUGAACGCUGGCGGCGUGCCUAACACAUGCAAGUCGAACGGAGAUUCCGGACGGACGUUUUCGGAUGGAAGCCUGUAAUUCUUAGUGGCGGACGGGUGAGUAACGCGUGGGCAACCUGCCCUAUACAGGGGGAUAGCAGCUGGAAACGGCUGGUAAGACCGCAUAAGUCGGUUAAAUCGCAUGAUUUGAUCGGGAAAUGAGCAAUCAGGUAUAGGAUGGGCCCGCGUCCGAUUAGCCAGUUGGCAGGGUAAAAGCCUACCAAAGCGACGAUCGGUAGCCGGACUGAGAGGUCGGACGGCCACAUUGGGACUGAGACACGGCCCAAACUCCUACGGGAGGCAGCAGUGGGGGAUAUUGCACAAUGGAGGAAACUCUGAUGCAGCGACGCCGCGUGAGUGAAGAAGUAUUUCGGUAUGUAAAGCUCUAUCAGCAGGGAAGAUGAUGACAGUACCUGACGAAGAAGCCCCGGCUAACUACGUG
rnacentral:rRNA from 1 species